AUCAUCGCAUCCUGAUUUGUCCCCUUCUUCCCCUGCUGCGUGAACAGCGACGCGACCCCGCUAGCCCCAUUCAGAAACAUCCUCCCCGGAAUCCGAUGCAGCUGCUCGUCGCGCCGCGAAUCAUGCCGCGGCGACGGCGCAGACCGCCGCCGCCCCCCCUUGCGCGGCCGCUUAGCGGGAGAGGAGGGGGAGGCAGGAGUGGCGCCUCCGCUCCGGCCUCCCCCGGCCCCGUCGGAUGAGAGGCAAGACCCCAUCCGCAGGGCCCUGAGGAGGUCCAGUAGGCACUCCAGACCAGCCAGGCAGCCGAAUCUCGCCGGCGACUCCGUCGAUCUCGCCGCUCCGCCGCCCGCCGCCACCGGAACCCCG
rnacentral:misc_RNA from 1 species